rnacentral:tRNA from 1 species
GGCUAGGUGGUCAAGUUGGUUAUAAGGCAUCGGUCUGCAAAACCGAGGACACGGGUUCAAGUCCCGUCCUGGCCU